GUCCUAGCUGUAAACGAUGGAUGCUUGGUGUAGGGGUAUCGACCCCUCCUGUGCCGAAGCUAACGCGAUAAGCAUCCCGCCUGGGGAGUACGGUCGCAAGGCUGAAACUAAAGGAAUUGACGGGGCCCGCACAAGCGGUGGAGCAUGUGGUUUAAUUCGACGCAACGCGAAGAACCUUACCUGGGGUUUGAACUAGCAGAUGACAACCUCCGAAAAGAAGGUCUCCCUUCCGGGGUGGUCUGCAGAGGUGCUGCAUGGCUGUCGU
rnacentral:rRNA from 1 species